rfam:Stentor coeruleus isolate WM001 SteCoe_contig_442, whole genome shotgun sequence.
GGUUCUAUAGUGUAGUGGUAGCACGUGGCUCUCCGGAGGCUACAGCCCGGGUUCAAAUCCCGGUAGAAUCG